AUCAGUUAACUUUAUUUUUGAAUAACAUAUACAAGGAAAUAACUCAAGAAAAACAUCAUCAUGGGGAAGAUAAUAUUGUCUCUCUACCUAUUUGUCUCUAUUUCUACAUAUCAGCAGGUAGUCAACUAAGACAGGGGUUGGAGGACGAGCUAAUUGUCAUUAAUGCCCCUGAUUGAAAAACAUUCAACCUAGUCUAAAAAAUAGCUUUGAAAGUAAGCAGUGCAAGAUUCUUAUUUUAAAAAACUUAAGCCAGCCAUGGUGGCUCACACCUGUAAUCCCAGCACUUUGGGAGGCUGAGGCCGGCGGAUCACUUGAGAUCAAGUGUUCCAGAUCAACCUGGCCAACGUGGUGAAACCCUGUCUCUGCUAAAAAUUCAAAAACUAGCCAGGCAUGGUAGCAUAUGCCUGUAGUCCCAGCUUCUAGGAAGGCUGAUGCAGGAGAAUUGCUUGAACCCGGGAAGCGGAGGUUGCAGUGAGCCAGGAUCUCCAGCCUGUGUGACAGAGUGAGACUCCAUCUCAAAAAAAACCAAAAAACAAACACAAAAAAACCAACAACAACAAAAAAAACUUCAUCACACAUCAGGUCACAAUAAGAUCUACAUGGCUGUAAAAAACUCUCUAACGUUAACUUCACAAGCUUACAUUACUAUUUUCCUUAAUGACAUUUGAUAUUUGAGGUGGUCUGGGUUGUGUUCCUUCUCUUCAAAAUAUACAAUUGGUAUUCUGCAUUAUUCGUUAGAUGCUCUGACUUUGAAAAUCUAAAUGAGAAAGCAAUAUUGACAUGUAUUUGUCACUUUUAUAAAAGUAAGUAUUCAGUAACUGUUAUUCAAUUAGUUAUCCUCCAAAAUUGAGAAGGCCCAAGAAUGACUGGAGUUUUAUAUAAGGGAAGUUAUCUUGGAAAUUUCUACUUACAUAUCAUGAAUAUAUAUUAUUGUAGUCCUACUAGAUAUAUGUGCAAUUUCUUAACUUCACUUAAUUUCUUCCUUCCUGCUAUACUACAUUGCUUAAUUUACUCUUGCACAAGCCACCAUGAAGUUGACACAGCUACCUUUACAAGCUAUCAUCACAUUUAAAAUCAUCUUCCGCAACAAGCCAUUUUCAGUUGCCUAAUUCAGACUAUUCUUCCCCUAUCAGCUCACAGAGCACCUAUUAUAUAACUAUAUCAACAUUUAUCACAUAAUUAUAAUUGUGUGAUUUCUUGGCUAUCACUCCGUCUAGACUGCAAAUCUCUGGAGGAAGAACAUAUUCCGUUCAUCUUUGUUUCCUAGCACCUAACACAGGGAUUGUCACAACAGAAAUGCUUGGAAAGGUUUCUUAUGAAGUAACAGGAAUCCAUUUCCGAGCAUUUCUGAGAAUGAGGAAGGUGGGGAUCUCUGGGUUCUUGGAGAUUUGUAUCUGUCAAUCUGAACAGACCACCUACUUUUUCUCUCCCAUUGUUAACCAUCUGUGAGGAACCAUGACUAUCAAUUCCACAAAGAAGCUUAACCAUGCAACACAGGUAUUGGGGAAUCACAAACUAUUUCUGUUCUGCUUCCAUAUGAAAAUUGGUGAUGCCUAAGAAGAGGUUAUAAAGAAUCUGUUUUUCUUAAAUCUCUUUGUCUCUUUGAAAAUCUCUGUGCACGACUUUCUUCAUUAAGUGCCAAACUAAUAGGGCUUAAAAAUGACUCAGCUAUAAAAGAACUUCUAGUUCUGCAAAGACAUACUUGUUUUCUUGAAUCUGUUUGGUGUAUCAAAACUAAAUGCCAUGGUAACCAGAAACUGUGGUGGAUUUUGUGAAAUGCCUUCCUUUGACUUAAUCUAGAUAGUAAGUUUAUUUUUCCAUCUUACUCUCCAUUUGCUUUAGGCUUUUCAUCUGUUCACUUUACCCUAAUAUCCUUUCACAGUGAGGUAGAAAAUACACAAUAAACGACAGAAAAUAUAGUAACAUGUAAUUGAAAUGCUGGCUCAAAGCUGGUACAGACACAAUUAAAUCUCAUUUGUGAUGAGUUAUGUUUCACAGGCAUUUUAAGACAUAUGCAUAUCGGGAAGCUAUAAUCCAUGCAUUUUACCUUAUCUUUUUUUUCCUACUCCGGAAAGAAAUGAAAACAAAAUUUAACUUUUGAGGUAAUUUAGAACUCAAUUUCUUACACGAAAUAAAGGCAAGGCCAUGUUGAAAAUAAUAUUGUUUAACUAUAAGUUAUUUGAAGAAAUUUUAAUGCUUCUCUAAAGUUAAAAAAAGAAUUUUAAAGAGAAUUAAAAAGUAAAAGCAGCCACAACUCUAUGAAUAUAACACCACUUGAAAAUUCAAGGUGAA
rnacentral:lncRNA from 1 species